AACGAACGCUGGCGGCAGGCUUAACACAUGCAAGUCGAACGAUGUAGCAAUACAUAGUGGCGCACGGGUGAGUAACGCGUGGGAAUAUACCUUAUAGUGGGGAAUAACUUUGGGAAACUAAAGCUAAUACCGCAUACGCCCGAGAGGGGAAAGAUUUAUCGCUAUAAGAUUAGCCCGCGUGAGAUUAGGUAGUUGGUGGGGUAAUGGCCUACCAAGCCUACGAUCUCUAGCUGGUCUGAGAGGAUGAUCAGCCACACUGGAACUGAGACACGGUCCAGACUCCUACGGGAGGCAGCAGUGGGGAAUAUUGGGCAAUGGAGGAAACUCUGACCCAGCCAUGCCGCGUGAAUGAUGAAGGCCUUAGGGUUGUAAAGUUCUUUCACCGAUGAAGAUAAUGACGGUAGUCGGAGAAGAAGCCCCGGCUAACUUCGUGCCAGCAGCCGCGGUAAU
rnacentral:rRNA from 1 species